GGGCAGUUACCAGAGUGGCCAAAUGGGGCAGACUGUAAAUCUGCUGGCAAUCGCCUACGGUGGUUCGAAUCCAUCACUGCCCACCA
rnacentral:tRNA from 1 species